rnacentral:rRNA from 1 species
UGCAGUCGAACGAUGAAGACCGGUGCUUGCACUGGUUGGAUUAGUGGCGAACGGGUGAGUAAUACGUGAGUAACCUGCCUUUGACUCUGGGAUAAGCCUUGGAAACGAGGUCUAAUACCGGAUACGACUAACCUUCGCAUGAAGUGUUAGUGGAAAGGGUUUGUACUGGUUUUAGAUGGGCUCACGGCCUAUCAGCUUGUUGGUGAGGUAAUGGCUCACCAAGGCGACGACGGGUAGCCGGCCUGAGAGGGUGACCGGCCACACUGGGACUGAGACACGGCCCAGACUCCUACGGGAGGCAGCAGUGGGGAAUAUUGCACAAUGGGCGCAAGCCUGAUGCAGCGACGCCGCGUGAGGGAUGACGGCCUUCGGGUUGUAAACCUCUUUCAGCAGGGGAGAAGCGAAAGUGACGGUACCUGCAGAAGAAGCGCCGGCUAACUACGUGCCAGCAGCCGCGGUAAUACGUAGGGCGCGAGCGUUGUCCGGAAUUAUUGGGCGUAAAGAGCUUGUAGGCGGUUUGUCGCGUCUGCUGUGAAAGCCCGGGGCUUAACUCCGGGUUUGCAGUGGGUACGGGCUAACUAGAGUGCAGUAGGGGAGACUGGAAUUCCUG